rnacentral:lncRNA from 1 species
GUCAGCUUUAAAAACCAUGGAAAAGUUCAGUUGACAUCCUACAGAACUUAGCUGUAUACCUGUUUGCUGUACACCCUUAUGUACACCCUUAUACAACUCUGGACAGCUACCAAACAAGAAGGGCCCAUGAGAUAGGGCUGAGAGUGAAAGGAAGAGGCUGGAGUUACAUGAGAAAUACAUGAUCUGUCAGAUCAGGGCUGGAGUGGAGUAGAAUAAAUAAUCCAUCAAUACAGUUUGAACUUUGAC